ensembl:lncRNA
CUCAGGCCAUCAGUAACAUAUAACACAAACUCUCCUCCAUGCAACAAAAAGAUUGUCCUUUUUUGAUAAUGCAGACAUUAAAUUUUAAUCCAGCACACAAUGUUUUACCGACACAAUUCAUCCUACUGUGCUGAAGGUUUCUGCUUAAAUGUUCUCGCCUCUAGAGAAUAAAAUGAAUCACACUCUCUGUGCACAGGCCACCCCAAGGUGAUUUAUUUGCUGAUUCCUUGUCACUGUGUAAUUUAUUGCAGUGCUUUUGUCUUCUUUUUUGUAUACAUGGAGUGAUCAGGCAGUGCAGAGCAGCAAACGUGAUUCUGUUCCUAAGGAGAUUCACAGUGUCCAGGACUCCAGAUAAUGAGACGGAACAGGCUCUGCCAGAGACGCGGUCUCAGCCGUGGCUGACCAUCGUGCAUGCCCUUGAACCCAGCUGGACCUCCCAAGAAAUACGGCAACUCAUUAUUCUGUCAGAUGUCACAUCGAGCCAAGCGAGAGUGUCAGUAACUGCUUCCAAACGGAGAUGGAGAUUUCACAUUGUUUAGCGGGAUCCCAGAAUAGAAGGCGUAUUUCAAAGCGUUGACUUUCACAACAGUGCUCGGUUAGUAUGUUCACCGUGCCAUGACUUUUUAGUGUGCACCUCAUUAUUAAUGAUUUUACUACUAGGCUGUUGAAACACAAAGAAGGGGAGUGUGGGGACAGUGUCAUGUUGCUUCAACUGAUCAAAUGAUAAAUAAUGAUAAACAUGGGCUCAAAUAAAUGCUUUGUUCUUUCGUAUUUUCUUCAGACUAGAGAACGGAGUUGAAAAGAGCAACUGGGGAACAAUAAAGCAAUAUUGCAAGAAACUCCCCCAGCUUAUAAAGGAUUUCGCAAUUGGAUUGCAAAAUGCAGUUGGAACAAACAGACAAAGAAAUAAAAAUCUUACACUAACACAACCUUUAUGUAAUUAAAUAGGUUACUAAAAAUACUUUUUGUCAUUUCAGUUUUUUUCAAGAAUAAUUAGAAUAUGAAAGGAAGUAGAAUUUAUGCAGCUGGCACUGAUUCAUUAUCAGAAAAAUGCUAAUUGUUGACAUCUAACAACUUUUGAAGUGGCCAGUUUCACUCCUGUAGGCCCUUCUGGGAUGGUAAUUUCAGAAAACAACAGCUUUUUGUAAAUUUCAUGAAUGUGGAGCUUUAAAUUCUUAUCAUGAGACACAUAGGAUGGAAGUGUGGGUAUAGUGGUAUGUUGCUUC